CCUACGGGAGGCAGCAGUGAGGAAUAUUGGUCAAUGGACGAGAGUCUGAACCAGCCAAGUAGCGUGAAGGAUGACUGCCCUAUGGGUUGUAAACUUCUUUUAUAUGGGAAUAAAAUGUUCCACGUGUGGGAUUUUGUAUGUACCAUAUGAAUAAGGAUCGGCUAACUCCGUGCCAGCAGCCGCGGUAAUACGGAGGAUCCGAGCGUUAUCCGGAUUUAUUGGGUUUAAAGGGAGCGUAGGUGGAUUGUUAAGUCAGUUGUGAAAGUUUGCGGCUCAACCGUAAAAUUGCAGUUGAAACUGGCAGUCUUGGGUACAGUAGAGGUGGGCGGAAUUCGUGGUGUAGCGGUGAAAUGCUUAGAUAUCACGAAGAACUCCGAUUGCGAAGGCAGUUCACUGGACUGCAACUGACACUGAGGCUCGAAAGUGUGGGUAUCAAACAGGAUUAGAUACCCGAGUAGUC
rnacentral:rRNA from 1 species